UACGUAGGGUGCGAGCGUUAAUCGGAAUUACUGGGCGUAAAGCGUGCGCAGGCGGUUUUGUAAGCCGGAUGUGAAAUCCCCGGGCUUAACCUGGGAAUGGCAUUCGGGACUGCAAGGCUGGAGUGCGGCAGAGGGGACUGGAAUUCCUGGUGUAGCAGUGAAAUGCGUAGAUAUCGAGAGGAACACCUGCGGCGAAGGCGGGUUGCUGGGCCGACACUGACGCUGAUGCGCGAAAGCCAGGGGAGCGAACGGG
rnacentral:rRNA from 1 species